ensembl:lncRNA
GGAUGCCACAAGCUCACCAAGACUCGCAGACAUACACAGUCAGACAUAAAGCAGGAGAGGCGAGACGGACCAGACAAAGAGAAGCUGAGAGCAACUUAGACGAGCUGAGUCACUUGUGUUUAUUUCGAGAGAAUAUAGAAACAGAAAAUGAUGCUGCGGAGUGCCAAGGGGGUGCAAAGGAGCGGGGAUGUGACGGAUUCUGUUACCUGGGUUUGGGCGGUGGCUGUUUCCUGUCUGGGCAAAAGGCGUGGCUGAGGACUCUGGGGACAAAAUGCCUGCUCAGCAGGACCAACCAUGGGCUUACCAGGAGCAGGGGUGGUUUAGGUUUAGUUGGGUUAUUCUGUGCUUAGUUAAUAUUAGUGUGUGUUUGUGUUUUCCCCCCUAUUGAGCAGGGGUGGUUUAGGUUUAGUUGGGUUAUUCUGUGCUUAGUUAAUAUUAGUGUGUGUUUGUGUUUUCCCCCCUAUUGUGUUCAAAUGGUUUGGCCAAAUCAUUAUAAAAGCUACCCUCAUGUGUCUUUUUAAUUAGGUCAGUUUGUGGGUUAAGUUGUGUCUCACUUUGUUGUUUAAGUUUUUGGAAAUUACUUUUUGUAGAGUUAUAUUUAGUUGACCUGUUUUAUGGGCCUGCUAAGUAUGGUUUUGAAUUUUGUUAAUUUUGGAUUUUUUGAGGGUUAAAAUAAAGAAAACCCUUUUUGA